UACAGAGGUGGCAAGCGUUGUUCGGAAUUACUGGGCGUAAAGCGUGCGCAGGCGGUUUUGUAAGUCAGAUGUGAAAUCCCCGGGCUUAACCUGGGAAUGGCAUUUGGGACUGCAAGGCUGGAGUGUGGCAGAGGAGACUGGAAUUCCUGGUGUAGCAGUGAAAUGCGCAGAUAUCAGGAGGAACACCGGUGGCGAAGGCGGGUCUCUGGGCCGAUACUGACGCUGAGGAGCGAAAGCGUGGGGAGCGAACAGG
rnacentral:rRNA from 1 species